ACGCUGGCGGCGUGCUUAACACAUGCAAGUCGAACGGUGACCCAGGGCUUGCCCUGGUGAUCAGUGGCGAACGGGUGAGUAACACGUGGGCAACCUGCCCCUGACUUCGGGAUAACUCCUCGAAAGAGGAGCUAAUACCGGAUACGACCACUUCGGACAUCCGAUGGUGGUGGAAAGUUUUUCGGUCAGGGAUGGGCCCGCGGCCUAUCAGCUAGUUGGUGGGGUAAUGGCCUACCAAGGCGACGACGGGUAGCCGGCCUGAGAGGGCGACCGGCCACACUGGGACUGAGACACGGCCCAGACUCCUACGGGAGGCAGCAGUGGGGAAUAUUGCGCAAUGGGCGAAGGCCUGACGCAGCGACGCCGCGUGAGGGAUGAAGGCCUUCGGGUUGUAAACCUCUUUCAGCAGGGACGAAGCGAAAGUGACGGUACCUGCGGAAGAAGCACCGGCUAACUACGUG
rnacentral:rRNA from 1 species